rnacentral:lncRNA from 1 species
UUUUUUAUUCUCCGCCGCGCUCGCUCCAACACGCAAGAUAGCCUCACCAGUCACCAGCGCCUCUACCUAACUUCUACCUCUUUCGCCUUUUUCUGUUCCUUUUCUUUGCAUUUUAUUGUGUUUUGUCUGAUAAUUGUUUUUUCUGCACCAAUUGAAAGAACGCACAGAAGAAGAAGAAGAAGGGGCGCAGUCACCCUCACCAGAUUGGCAACUCCGCCCCCAAGCGCCGCCCACAGCUCCUGCCUGGAGCAACUCUGGCGCUCACCCUCAGCCCAGCCUCAUCUCGGCCGCAACCCAGCCUUGCUCCUGCGAUCUGACCCGCUCCGGCAACAGCCCGGCCUUCCAGAUCGGACCGCAUCCCUGUGCAAGGCUAGCACAGAUCUCCGUCGCGAACCCAACACGUCGCCGACGGACCCCUUCCCAGCCCAGCCUUGUGCGCCGCCUAUCGAGAUUGAUCCACCCGAGCUCCGAUCGGGACUGGCUCGAUCCGAAUCCGGCAAUAGAGCCCUACCCGGCGUUAGAUCCAAACCGAUCCGGAAAAAAUGGGUUUUACCCUUUUCUGGUAAAUCAGAUAUUUACAAAGGUAAUUUCACAAAGUUACCAAAUGAUGGUUUUAAGAGUUAGUGUUUACGAUUAUAGAUUUACUCUUUACUGUUUACUGUUUUAUGGAAAUUAAAAUGGUAAAACAGAAAAGUAAUUACUGUUUAAGUUAUUUACUAUUUUACAGUAACACCAUUUUUUACUAAUUAUUUAUGAUUAAUUAUAACGAGUACAUCACUGUAUAUAUGGUUACAUGUUACUAAUUAAUCAUAUAAAUCUUAGGGAAAAAGACCAUUUGCACAAAAUAGAAAAAGUCAAACCCCAUUUCAAUGAUAAUCUUUUUUAUUAGCCCAUUUGAAUACAAGGUAUUUAUUUUAAGCUCAAAUACAUAAAUUUUUAUUAAAAUAUAAUAAAAUGAUAUUUUAAAAGACUUUUUUACCCUUAACCUUUAUUUAAAGAGAAAAAAAGAAAAAGAAGAAGGGAAGACUUUCCCGGAAGCACACCGGACACCAGCGCCGGUCGACGGUCACCGGAUUCCGGUCGCCGAACACCGGUUGCCUAAUUCUCGUCACCGGACACUGGCCGCCGGAUUUCGGACACCGGUCGCCGAAAAAUUGAUGGUGAUCGGAAAAUCGCUGGAGACGCCGGAGUCUCAUUGGAUUUUUUUGAAAAAAAUGUCACCAGAACCCACCGGAUCUUGCCGGAAGCAUACCGGCAAAAAAUGAAGUUUACUACCCCUAGUAAACUUUUACUGGGGGUAGUAAACUUACAAAACAGUAGCUCCAAUACCAUAAUUCACAUUGAAAAAGAGAAAAAUCAACUUAGAUGCGAAAAAAUGAAGUUUACUACCCCUAGUAAAUUUUACUAGGGGUAGUAAACUUGCAAAACAGUAGCUCCAAUGCCAUAAUCACAUUAAAAAGAGAAAAAUCAACUUAGAUGCGAAAAAUAAAGUUUACUGAAGGGGUUAGUAAACUUUUACUUAAAAUUUACUACCCCCUAGUAAACUUCUACUGAAGAUAGUAAACUUGCAAAACGGUAUCUACAAAUGCCAUAAUACACAUUAAAAUGGAGAAAAAUUAACUUAGAUGCGAAAAAAUAAAGUUUACUGGGAGUAGUAAAUUUUUUACUAAAGUUUAUUACCCCUAGUAAACUUCUAAUGGGAGCAGUUAACUUGUAAACAGUAUCUCCAAAUGUCAUAAUACACAAUAAAACAAAGGAAAAAUCAACUUAAUUACGAAAAAACAAAAUUUACUGGGGGUAGUAAAUUAGUAAAACCAAUGAACUCAUACUAUUCAAUCUGAAACUAUUCAAACAUACAUCCUUGGUAAGAAACCAAAUGAUUCCAAAUUCAAAUCACAUUUGCGGUUGAAACUUGAGGAUCAUGGAGAUUCAAAUCAUACGAAAAUACAAAUCACACGAAAAUUGAGGAUUGUUCCUGAGGAGCCUGCCAAUUUGAUCGUCCUGAUCUCCAACGCCGGCGACCGAGGAUUCUGGUUCAGAAUCGAAAGUGAAUCGGAUUUCCCUUCCAAGCAAAUCUGAAUCCACUAAAUCUGUACAUCACGAUGAACAAUUUGACCACCGGAAGAGGAAACAGAGCUUACCGGGAGGUUUACAUGACGGUCGACGGCGAGCUGGUCGGGUCGGAGGUGCCGUUUCCGAUGGUGUUCACCGACGAGAUGAAUCCAGAGAUCGUUGCAAGCGAGAGGCCCGGUUGUCGAGGAAGAUGGUGACGGUGUAGUGCCGAUGCUCCUUGCUCGAGGGCGUCGGUGGCAACGCUGUCUUCCACCAUGGAAGUUCGUCGAGGUGAGAGAGAGGAAGAGAGAGGAGAGAUGAGAGAUGAGUGAGAAGUGAUCGGGAAAGAAGAUAAGAAAGGAGUGGUGGGAAUAGAACAGUGGGUAUAAAUGUCUUUUUCUUAUGAAUAAUUGAGAUGGGCCUUGGGAAAAGAUUAUCAUUGAUGUGGGCAAUAAAUCUUUAAAAUUAGUAUCAUUAAGGCAUUUACUCUAAAUCUUAUUGUGUUUACUAAUUAAUCAUAUAAAUCUUAUUGUGUUUGCAUAUGAUAUACCCAUUGCCGUGUGACGAUCAACAUGUCAAUUUGGGUGGCAACCCGAUCAAAAUGUUCAUUGCGAGAGAAAGCACAUCAUACGCAAUCUAUUUGGCAGACUCACAAGUAUGAUUUACUGUCACACCCCAACUCGAGUAAAGGUAUAAUCUCGAGUUGAGAUGUGAAUCACACUCUAAUUACAGACAGUUUAAUAUCCAUAAUUAAAAUGAGACUGAUAUCAUUACAUGACGUAAGAAAAAAAACGAUCGCACCUUUAUUUAUAUUACAAACCUUUAAAAAGGGUGCUAAAAGCACACAGGUUUAAAGUAUUUACAAACAAACAGCAAACAAACCAAAACAAAAAUAGCGUUACUCCUCAUAACGUCUAUUCUUUAUUCAAUCUCUAUUUACAAACAAACAAAAGCAAAAAGGUUCUAAUUUGCAUUAUAAGAUUUCCAAAACACUUCGAGAAAACACCUGCAAUGGGUUUGAAUGGGAUGAGCUACACUUAACAAUACUAGAUAAAUAAAUAUAGCACAUCGCAACAAUGGCAACGAAACAAAUAAACAUAUUAAGAAUGCAAGUAUGCAAUGUUCGACUCAACUCUUCCCACUUCACAUCACCCUCAUAAAACUCUUCUCAUUUGUUAGUCAUCUUGUUAUACUCAUGGCCUCCAAACCCGAAACCCGAUUAGAUAGUUUUAUCGACUCCGGCGUCGAUAGGGCUUCACUCCCCUCUUCGUGCACAUGUGGGUUACCGUAGGUCUUGGAUGCCCCAUGAGGAAACUCAACUACACAAACGAUUUCCUAAUAGCAAUAUCCCAUACAAUCCCAAGAACUCAUUCAUUUUUCAACUUCCAUCGUGUACUCACUUUUCUCACAAUGUCAUGUAAUAAUAAAUCAAAUAGAACAUGCUUUCAUAUAUGAGCAUAUCAUAAUCAAAUCAAUAAGCAUAAUCUCCAAUGAUCAUAUAUCUAAGUCAAAAGACCAGUUCAAUAUCAAACAAUGCCAACAAUAUCGCACACAUCAAUGUCAAACAACUCCAACAAUAGCCAAACAAUUCAAGCAUAAUCACAACAUAAAACAAACGCCCCAUCAAACCCUACCUCGAAUUGCGCAACGCAAACCCGAGCUCUAGCUCUGUUGCCUACUCUUGUGGAUCACCAACGACCUCCUCGGAACCUUACCAAAUGGUAAAGUACAUACAAAGUUAGUAACUACCUUAAAGCAACUCAACACAAGGAACUUUCAAUUGCCAAAAAAAUAUAACUUAAUGUCGUAACAUUAAGCAAUUUACUGUCUGGACACUUUAACAAACAAAGGAUUCGAAGUAAACCACAAGUAAUCCAUCUUAACACAACUAGUACCAAAACAGUUUCCUGACCCAGUCCCUUUCACAAUGGAAUCUAGGUAAAACCAUAAAGAAUUUUAACUUCGUGGUCCUCUAAGGAAAUAAACUAGACAUCCUAAUGAAGAUCUUAGAAGUUGAAUCACCUGAAAAUGAUUUUCUAGAAAUAGUUAUGAAUUUCGAAAGUCUACUGAUAUGCACCAGUAAAAACAGAUAUAGCUGUGUAAGUGACAGAUUUGGGCAAGGAUUUUCACAUACCAAAAGUAACCCAAAACUAACGAAAUUUGGUACGUAUAUAGAGGGAUAUAUGAAGUUUACAAUACCACUUUUGGAAUCGAAAACAAAGAACUGAGCUAAAAGUUAUGAUGUUGUAAAGUUGGUCCGAAAUCAUGGUUUUCUGCACUUUUCUGGAAAAUUUCCAGCAACACGAAAUUUCGAAUUUGAAGACUUUGAUUCGAUUUAUGGAGUAGUAAAAGAGAUUAUAAAGCUUCAAAAUAGUUAGACAACAUUUCCAGAGCUCUAAGAUGUUCCUAAACACAACCAACAAUGAAUCAAAAAGAUCCAAAAUCUGAUUUGGACACCCAACUCAAGAACAUCUCAAGAACACCAUUCUUUUAGAGCUGCAAUCACUACGACUUCUAAACAAAACAAAAUGAAAUUCUAACUAACUCUGAUAUCUAACCAGGUCUGUGAAUUCGAAGUCCAAAUACUACUGUAUAAUUAAUCAUAGGAAACAUAUAAUUGAACAAAAAUAAGAAUCAAGGAUCAAGGUAAUUGAUAUCUCAAGAACUGAAUUCGAAAAUACCAAAGGGGAUGAGAAUCCUACCUUACACAGAGACAAGACCAAACUAAGUUUCCCUCUCACACCCACUAAGUUUCUAUUUGUUUUCCAAAACUCUCUCUUUGCUCCUCCCAUCUGUUUUUGAUCGAAAUCCAGUCUCCUCUUCUCCCAAUCCAUCUUAAUCUACUAGCCCAACUCUCUAGGCUCUCCUAUGUAUGCCAUCUCUCACUUUGCAUGCGUGCUGAGAGAGAGCACGACAAAAAGGGAAUGAUUGCUGCGUUCUUACUGAACGUAGUAAUUAAUUUUUUUUUUGACAAAAGUAAAAAUACCUAAAAUCUCAAUAAAACUAAAAAAUAACCUAAUAAAACAAACAAAAUAGUUUAGGAUAUUAGAUUUACGUUAAAGUUGCCCUUUUUGUUUAAAUUUUUUGCUAAUACAUGAUAUUUAGCAUGUUACUUGAAAAAUUAUUUUGUGAUCGUUGUGACAUGUUACAAUGUUAUAUGCUAUGCUUUAUUCAAAAAUGUUAUAUGCUAUGCAUAUGUAAUUUAAUUAAAUGAUUAUUUAUUAGCAUAUCAUAUAAAUUGUGUUGCUAUGAUAAAGCAAAUUGAUAACAUCAAAAUGACAAACUUGUGAUGAAGCAAUUUCACAAAGCAUCAAAAAAGAACGUGACCACUAUGAAUCUUGAUCCUCAAAUCUAAUUCAUAUAUUUUGGAAAUUGAUUGACGUGGAUGUCUAUAUGACUGCAUAGAAAGAAUGAUAAUGAAAUUUCAUGAGCGUAUACGGUAAAGAAAAUGAUUAAAUCGUAAAUUUUAUUGUGAUAACGAAAUUUCACAUUCGAAACGAAGAUUCCGCAUCUUAGAAUACUAUAGUACUCGUGGUUGUCUAUUGAGACUGUGACACUCGUAUAUCUUCUCCUUACUCUAUUUUACAGAUGGUUGAACCAUCAUAGCUGGACUUUAAUUCACUGGACUCUGUAGAACUUGAGUACCAAUUUGUUCCUCUAUUAAGCCAAUCAAGGCUCGAGCAUGGUAAAAUUAUGGAAACACUUUUCCACAAGUAGUUUAAUUAGCAUUUCUUAAACGACAAUGUAAGGUCCGUCAGGCGUCAGCAUAAAGACAUUUCUUAAAAAUAUAAAAGAAAUCUCAAAGCAAAGGGCAAUUACCAUGUACAUGUAGAUCCCUACAAUCGUUCAAAAGCAUGUGGGAACAAUGCACCACGUGAAAGAGGGUCUAGGGGACGUGACAUAAGGAGUGACGCACACUGCCAUUUUUUUUUUAAUAAACAAAACAUUCAUAAAUAUUGCAAGUCAGCAUAUGAAAUAGCUGUGACUUACAAGUAGUAUAGAGAAUCAUGGAAGCACGGGGAAUUGAAAAAGUAUAUUCAAAUACUCGGACUGAAAAAAGAUUAUCAAUCCCUUGAAGCUUACCAAUGGAAGAAGAUAAAGUGAUGCAAGAAUGUUUUAGACUUCGGUUAAAACUGCUCUAAGUUUUCUAAGAUACUUUAUGUAAAAUCUAUUAUGCAUUCAUUUAAUUAGACUGUUGUUUUGGUCUUAAAGUUUAGGACUAAUUUCAGUUUACUCCCAUUAACUUUAGGUCGAUCAUCAUGUUAGUCAUUUUUCUUUCAAUUUCAUCAAAAACACCCCUCAACUCCCAAUUUUCAUCAGCCGCGCAUGUCUAAACCUCCAAUCUCCAUCCAAUUCCUCUGUCAAGUGAUGACUUGAUAUCAAGAAGAAAGUCAAAUUCUGAAAGUUACCUUUCGCACCAUUUUUCCCCCAUAUCGAUACACAUCUUCGUUCUCAUCACAACCCCCUAACCUUAGUAAUUUUGGUGGGAUUGAAUGCAAUUUGUCUAUUUUUCCUUUUUCCUUUUUUCUUUUUUCUUGAUAUCAAGUCAUCACUUGACAAAUGAAUUGGAUGGAGAUUGGAAGUUUGGACAUGCGCGGCUGAUGAAAAUUGGGAGUUAAGGGGUGCUUUUGAUGAAAUUGAAAGAAGAAAGACUAACAUGAUAAUCGACCUAAGUUGAUGGGGGUAAACUGAAAUUAGUUCUAAAGUUUAUGUGGAUAAUGCGUACUGAAUUAGAUGAGACUUUGAUUUAUAUUCUGAAGCAUUGAAUUUAUUCAAUUUUUAUUUACUAUAAAUAUACAUGGUUCAACAUAUCAUCAUAAAGAUGCGAAGCAAUGCAUCCAACAAAUAAAAAUAAGGUUAUUCAAAUGAAAAGCAUAUCAUUCUAUCGACAUCAAAAUACUCAAAAGAAUAUGAGGUAUACCUUUCGGAUUAUAUAUACUCCCAUAUACUUUAAGGAAUGUAUAUAUGUAGGAGUAAAAAGGUGCUUAGUGAGAUUACUCAUAUUACUUUAAGGACUAAGCUAGGUAAUUAUUUAUGUCUUAUAAUUCUACUGUGACUAUGAUGACUUGAUCAUCACAACUAAUAAAUAGCGAGGCACUCUCUGAAAUCUGUUGCCUAAUGGCAUAAAAAUUAAAGUCAUAGAAGCUCUGUGUUCCCCACGAGCUAAUCGAACCUCGUUAAAGUUAUAAAGAAAUUCGUGCCAACGAUUAUCAUAUGAAAACCUAAUGUGAGAAUGGAAUGGAACUACCUCAAAUAAAUGCGAAUGGAAACGCAUUUUGAAGAACUGAACGAGUCACCUACAUUGAAAUGUAGGAUACUGACUCACAAAGGCUUUGAUAUGACCACUUAGAACACCGUGGUUUGGACAUGGGAUCCGUACUUUAAAGAAACUCACACAGACAUCGAUCCUAUCUUUUGAGUGAAUAAUAAAAUGGGACAAAAGUCUGUCACACUGCAAGGUGACGACACUAACUCUGACCGCAUGCACUGGUCGUUCCUAGCUAAUGCUACUCCAAUGCAGUCAUUGCACUCUAAAGCACCUGAUGCUUAACAUGCCUCCUAUUAGGCCUUGUUGAUUAGUUCAAAGGCACAUCACUCAUUUUGCAAAGCCUAUUCUUUAGCAAAAACAGGAUCAAGACCUUCCUAUGCUAAAGAUAACCAAAAUAUUCCAUUCUUACCAAGAAUAUAAUGUGAUAUGUGGACAUAUCCAUCCAGAAAUGCGGACCAUUACAAUACUUUAUGGUUAUGGAGGACAUUUCGACACACUGGUCACAAGUCGAAUAAUUAUCUACUAGAAAUGCUGCAUUUGCAAACUCUGAUCAUCAAUUCCAUAAGACUUGACAAAGCUGAGAUCUAGAGUUCACAUCAAAAGGACUUGAUGCUUAUUGCAUGACGAUCAAGAUUGAUGUAAAACAUCUUGACACCCCAGAUGCAUACUCACAAUGGUCUCGUAGAAGCCACCAUAGAGGGUGGCUAGGGCACUGAUUAUGCACACCAAUCUGUCUAUACCUACUUUGGAUUAUGCAAUAUUGCACGCAAUUUUACUUAUUCGUUUUUAGGCCCACUGCUAGCCAACUAUUUCAUGCGUACCAGUUGGAAACUAGACAUGAGCCUGAGAUUUACACAUUUGGUUGUGCAGCAUAUGUGCCUAUUGCGCUCCCACAACACAUCAAAA